rnacentral:ncRNA from 1 species
AGCUUUAACCCAACUUACACAUGCAAGUCUCCGCAAUCCCGUGAGUAUGCCCUUAAUCCCCUGCCCGGGGACGAGGAGCGGGCAUCAGGCACAAACUUUUUAGCCCAAGACGCCUGGCCGAGCCACACCCCCAAGGGAAUUCAGCAGUGAUAAACAUUAAGCCAUAAGUGAAAACUUGACUCAGUCAGGGUUUAAGUAGGGCCGGUAAAACUCGUGCCAGCCACCGCGGUUAAACGAGAGGCCCUAGUUAAUAAUACACGGCGUAAAGGGUGGUUAAGGAAAGCAUAACAAUAAAGUCGAAUGGCCCCUUGGCUGUCAUACGCUUCUAGGUGUCCGAAGCCCAAUAUACGAAAGUAGCUUUAAUAAAGCCCACCUGACCCCACGAAAGCUGAGGAACAAACUGGGAUUAGAUACCCCACUAUGCUCAGCCAUAAACCUAGACGUCCAGCUACAAUUAGACGUCCGCCCGGGUACUACGAGCAUUAGCUUGAAACCCAAAGGACCUGACGGUGCCUUAGACCCCCCUAGAGGAGCCUGUUCUAGAACCGAUAACCCCCGUUAAACCUCACCACUUCUAGCCACCCCAGCCUAUAUACCGCCGUCGUCAGCUUACCCUGUGAAGGCAACAAAAGUAAGCAAGAUGGGCACAGCCCAGAACGUCAGGUCGAGGUGUAGCGUACGAAGCGGGAAGAAAUGGGCUACAUUUUCUACAAUAGAAUACUACGGACAUGCAACAUGAAAUAGUGCUUGAAGGAGGAUUUAGUAGUAAAAAGGAAGCAGAGUGUCCUUUUGAACCCGGCUCUGAGGCGCGUACACACCGCCCGUCACUCUCCCCUGUCAAAAUGCACUAAAGAUACCUAACACCAAAGCGCUG